rnacentral:lncRNA from 1 species
UAUCUCUCCUUUCAUUUUCUCAGAGUUUUCUAUCGCUGCACCACUGCCUCUAUUUUUGGCAAGAUCAGAGCCAAACCUCAUUGAUAUGUGGUAAAUAGCACCUCUAUUUCACCUUCUCUCUCUCCCUACCCAUUCAUUACAUCGUCACUAUUGGCCUAAUUCCACUGAGAAAUCACUAGAUUUUAUUAUCUCGACACCUUCUGUUCUUUCAAUGUUUCAUCUUCUAUUUUCAUGACAACCAUAGGUCCUCGAUUGGGCUCUUUUAUUCCUUAAACUGUAUCGAAGCUUAGCCAUCGUUGAGCAAGCUAAAACUUGACUCAAUAUUGAGCAACCACCAAUCUUCCUAUUUUUGAUCAAGCCUUGUCUAUUUUUUUCUUUUCUUUCAUCGUGGUCACCAUUACCAUUGCCAGAUGUUGCAAGACCUCAGGAUUUUAUCCUCCACCACUAUCAACAAACCACUACCUUUCACCUCCUCUUUCCUUUCUUAAAAAAGCCUUGAUCUCCCCUCUCUAUUUCUUUCUCUCUUACAUUAUCUUUCUCUCUCUUCAUGUCCCUCGCACUCCCUCUCGAUGUCCUUUGAUAGACCCAAUGAAAGUUUGAUCUAGCAAGUACCAGCAUCUAGGCCUCCACCCUAGCCUUCAUCCAUGGAAAAUCUUUGUCAUACUGCCUUUGCUCUGACUGGACUUCUAUUUCUCAAUCUCGCAGGUUUUACCUAGAAUCAAAUUGAUUCGAGCCAUCAAAUGCCGCCACCUAGCCGACUUUAUCCUCCCUCCAUCACUUUCUUAUGUUUAUAUUAUCACUCUUAUUC